GUUUGCUUGAGUGUGUCUAACUUUUUUAACCCGUGGCAGCUUUGUUGGUUUUGCCCUACCCCUUUAUUUUAGACUACUCAAUUAUUAUAGUGAAGAGAAUCCUUUACAGCUUGACAAGGUCAUUCUUUGGAGAAAAUUACUUGCUUGGUGCUUUUAAGCAUAUUGUUGAUUAUCACUUUAUUUUCUAGGACAACCUUCUAGCAUGAAUUGCGAACUUGGUUAGACGCCAAUCAAAUUCUAAAUAUUGAGCU
rnacentral:lncRNA from 1 species